rnacentral:misc_RNA from 1 species
UGCUAUAUUCUAUGCACAUAUUACAAAAAUUACUCGAAAAAUUUCGAACAUUUCAUUAAAAUAAAAAAUUAACUAAUUACGUUACCUGGAUAUAAUUAUGAAUGCACAUAUGCUAUAUGUACAAUAUAUAUAUACAGGAUGUCCAAUAAUGGGCAACGCUUAUAAGAUGAUAGAGUUGAAUUAAGUAAAAAAAGUCCUGUACCAUUUUCCAAACAAUCAUGUAAAAUUUUAAGAUAAUAAAUAAGAAAAGUUAGAUUAUGUAAGAAAUUGUAAUAUAUUAUAUAAUAAGGGGAACCAAUAAAUAUAUAUUAUAUAAGAAAAGUUGGGGCAAUUGAGGGCGUGUUCCACGCACCGAACCAAUACGGUGAUGGAGAAUGCUCUCGGUACGCUGCGCCGUAUGAUUUAUCAACAAGAACAAAUAUGUGACAAGGAGAGAAAGAUAGCGCAUCACUGACAUUCUUUUCUAAUAGUUUAGUUUGUAAUAGGUCGCUGUCAUGCUUAGAAAUAUUACGCUUAUCGCCUCGAUAUGCGAGAUGCGCUCUCAUUUGCCAAUACUUUUUAUAUUUAAUAUCUCAAAAUUUUAUGUGGGUAUUUGAUAAAUGUUGAAAGAUUUUUUAUUCAACUCAACCUGUUCUUACCUGAUAUUGGUACCUUCAUUGCCGGAUACCUUGACAUAUUGAUGCUAUGUCUUAUGUCGAAACGCAUUCUUGAACGUCUCACAAUAGACUGAUCUCUCAGUCGAAAACGGUAGUUCAGUGCGCUUGCGCUUAUAUGAAUAAAAAAUGAAAACUGUAUGUAUGAAAUUUCCUGCAAUUUACUAUUAAGACUAUGGGACUAUAUUCUACAAUUUACUUAUUGUGCAAAAUAUGUACGUUUAAUAUAAGACGUAAUAAUAUUUUUGCAUUUGAUGUAUCUAUAGUGCUAUUUGCUUUCACGGCACUUUCACAAUCAUGAAAAAUUCUUAAAUUAUGGAAAAUUACUAAAUUACAUAAUAUUCGCUUUUAUAUUACCUUAAGAGCAGUAGAAAUUUUACAGAAAAGAAAACAUUUAGUAUAUUAUUGAAAGAUCAAUUGGUUGUUUGGUUGACAAAAGUGCUCUAUCCGUCGUGUAAGAUGGUUCUCUUCGUUCGGGAACGCUGUUUUAAGCUGCAUCGACUUAUGUUUACGAUUUUGGGAUUAUGGCCAUAUCAAAAUUCAUGUAUUUGGCGACUUCAAGCAGUUUUCUUUUUCAGUGUAUACAGCAGCUUUUUAAUUUUUCAGUUAACGACAUUUUUAACGUCAACGUGUAACAUUGAUUGUAUCUUUAAAAAAUUUUCUUAUAUUUGUAUUACCAUAGCGUAUAUUACGAAUUAUUAUUCCUUCUAUUUCAAUUCCGAAACUGUAAAGCAAUCGUUGGAACACAUUCAGUUGGACUGGAAAAUGUUGGAAACUAGUGAAACAAUAAAAAUAUUUGAAGAAUAUCUUUUCGAAGCUUAUAUUCUCGCAUUAUCUGCAUAUAUUACUCUUAUAGUGGGUUCAUUUGUAUUAAUUUCUUUUGAAUCUACAUCUGUUAUUCUUGACGCUUUUAUACCGAUUAACGAAUCCCGACCACGCAAACUUGAAGUGGAUUUUGAACUUUUCGUCGAUCAAGAGGAAUAUUUCUUUUUGUAUUUGAUACAAGAAAUGCUAGGAGUGGGGAUCGGUAUGUGCUCGGUAAUUGCGACUGGGACAUUCUUGGCUACGAUAGGAAAACAUUGCUGUGCAACAUAUAAAAUUGCUAGUUAUUUAAUCCAAAAUACGGUGACCAUCCAUACGUUACAACUUCCUGCUCCCCAAAGAAUGCAAAUUAUGCAUCGGAGCAUUUGUCUUUCAGUUCACAUUCAUAGAAGAACCAUGCAGUUCUGCAAACGUAUAUUAAUUUCGUUUCAUUUUUGGUAUUUCCCUCUGCUAAUUAUUGGCGUAUUAUCCUUAAGUUGCGUUCUCUUUCGCCUAUACAAUGCUAUAAUGCAGUUCAAUGAUUUCUAUGAGAUUUUAAUAUCUUGUCUACUUUUGUAUUGUUAUUUAAUAUAUAUGUUUGUGGGCAACUUUAUUGCACAUUCUUAUAGCGAACACAGCGGAAGAGUAUUAGAAGCUAUGUAUGACACUCUUUGGUACGUAGCGCCAUUACCGAUUCAGAAAUUGUUCUUAAUUAUGCAAAAAUCUAUACAGAAUCAUAAACUAGUAAUGGGUGGUCUUUUUGUACUGUCUAUAGAAGGAUUCUCUACGCUUAUUACAUCGGCUGUAUCAUAUUUUACUGUCAUGCAUGCUAUGAAUGAUCAUGAUACUGAAGGCAGACUAGUGAAGAAAAUUUAGUUAUUAAGAAUACCUUUUGAUUCCAUAACAAUAAUUAUUUCAACAUAAAUGUGCACAAAACCAAUAAACAGAACAGAAUAUAAACAAUAAGCGAUAUAUUUUAUGUACAUUACAAAUACUAUACUAGAAGAAUUC